rnacentral:misc_RNA from 1 species
GAUGAAGAACGUAGCGAAAUGCGAUACUUGGUGUGAAUUGCAGAAUCCCGUGAACCAUCGAGUCUUUGAACGCAAGUUGCGCCCGAAGCCGUCAGGCCGAGGGCACGCCUGCCUGGGCGUCACACGCCGUUGCCCCCCCGCGCCCCGCACCCAACUCUUUGGGAGCGACCGCGGGGCGGGCUGAUGAUGGCCUCCCGUGCGCUCCGCCGCGCGGUUGGCCCAAAUACCGAGUCCACGGCGACGUGCGCCACGACGAUCGGUGGUUGAGAGACCUCUGUCGCAAGUCGUGCGCGCCCGUCGCGUCACGCGGGCUCGCAUAGCGCCUCGCGCCGCACCCGGUGCGGAGCUUUCAACGCGACCCCAGGUCAGGCGGGGUUACCCGCUGUAUUUAAGCAUAUCAAUAAGCGGAGGA